rnacentral:rRNA from 1 species
UAGAGUUUGAUCAUGGCUCAGGACGAACGUUGGCGGCGUGCUUAACACAUGCAAGUCGAACGAGGUCCACCGCGUAGCAAUACAAGGGAAGACCUAGUGGCGAACGGGUGCGUAACACGUGAGGAACUUGUCCCGGUCUCUGGGAUAACAGUUGGAAACGACUGCUAAUACCGGAUGACGUCGGAAUCUCGCAUGGGAUACUGACGAAAGGGUUACUGGAUCGGGAGAGCCUCGCGGCCUAUCAGCUUGUUGGUGAGGUAACGGCUCACCAAGGCAUCGACGGGUAGCUGGUCUGAGAGGAUGAUCAGCCACACUGGGACUGAGACACGGCCCAGACUCCUACGGGAGGCAGCAGUGGGGAAUCUUGCGCAAUGGGCGAAAGCCUGACGCAGCAACGCCGCGUGCGGGAAGAAGGCCCUCGGGUUGUAAACCGCUUUCAGAAGGAACGAAAAUGACGGUACUUUCAGAAGAAGGUGCGGCCAACUACGUGCCAGCAGCCGCGGUAAUA